rnacentral:rRNA from 1 species
UACGAAGGGUGCAAGCGUUACUCGGAAUUACUGGGCGUAGAGCGUGCGUAGGCGGUUUGUUAAGUCUGCUGUGAAAGCCCCGGGCUCAACCUGGGAAUGGCAGUGGAUACUGGCAAGCUAGAGUGCGGUAGAGGGGUGUGGAAUUCCCGGUGUAGCGGUGAAAUGCGUAGAGAUCGGGAGGAACACCAGUGGCGAAGGCGGCACCCUGGACCAGCACUGACACUGAGGCACGAAAGCGUGGGGAGCAAACAGG